UAUAAUUAUGCAAUCAUUUAAGAUUAGAUAAAAUGUAAUUUCUUAAAGAAUCUUAGAGAAUCUCAUCUGAUGAUGAUUCCCUUAUGCAUCUCAUUGCUGCUUAGAGAAUUCAAAGAAAACAAAUGUAGUUAGAUUGUGAGUUUAUCAUCACCAGCAGUGGUUGAACUGAUUCUCAUACUUUAAUAAUGUCUUAACUAAGGACCUAUAGAUGUAUUUAGGCAUUAUGAAUACAGAAAUUUUAUUCAUAAAGCAGGAAGUACAGGCUCUUUCAGGUAAAAAAUUAUUUAGUCACUGUGGUGUACUGCAGCCAGAUUGUAGUUCUCUCUUUGUGAGAGUCCUCAGAGCAGUCCUACCUGUGCUUACUUACCCAUUUUCUUGGCCUCUCUGACCCUAGAAAGCCACUUCAGUUUCUCCCAGAUCCAGUUCUGUCGAACUCGCAUCCUUUAUUCAGAGCACUGCUGCCAUUGCGCCAUCAUGUUGUCAUUGCCGUCGUCAUCACCGUCAUCGCCUCUGUGUAUUCUGUAUGAAUACUUGUAUAUGUCAUAGGCUUUAAACCUAGCAGUAACCCUAGUUAUAAUCUGGUAGUAGGUCUCCUUGUACUAACUGCAGACUGGGAUAAAAACCAGCUUGUUUACGCAAGGUCAUACAUUUUGUUUAUAUAUAUAACCAGAUCUCAGAUUUGGGCCUGAUUCUGACACCCUUGUUUGUACCUGCUGUGCUCUCCCACUCUCCUCUAUUCCUCAGGGUGUUGCUGGUGGUGUGGUCAGGGUCUUAUCCUAACCAGCUUAUCUCUGGGUUGCCAACAGCUAACCUGCCCAUCACAUCUUGGUUUUAAUCCUUUGCUAUGAUUGUCUGUUUAUGGACAUGAACCUCAUGUUUAUCAUCCCAGAUAUUUAAUGAAUGCCUUCCCAACUCUAAAACCCAGUAGUUCUGUGAUUCUUCCAUUGAAAGGCCACCUGGAAGCAGUGUUAAAAUAUUCAUUUUCACACAAGGGAAUGUUUUUUAAAGAAGUAACUUCUCAUGUGAACGUACUAUGCUUCCUCACUCACUCACUGAGAGUGGAGCCAUAGUUUACAUGGUAAUAUAUUCUUCUCAGGGGCACAUAUUUUAACUAUACUACUUGCUGUAGGCCUCCUAUAAAUAAUCAUAUUCCUAAUGGAAUUUUAAAAAAUCUUGUAAGUGAAAUAUAUGUAUAAAAAUAUGUUUGUACAUAAUAACAGUUUAGCUCCAUCCACUACAGUGAACACACGCUGUGUCUAAGCACUCAGAUCAAGAAAUGUAACAUUACCAAUAUUCCAGAAGCCCCCUUUGUGCCUCCUCUUAGUUACUGCCUCCCCUCAUAGGAACCCCUAUCCCAAAAGCACCAUAGAUUAGUUUUACAAGUGUUUGAACUUUAUUUAGGUGGAAUCAUACAGUUUAUACUGUUUUGUGUCUGGCUGCUCCCAACAUUGCAUUCUUGAGAUUCAUCUAUGUUGUGUGCAGUCUCAAUUUGUUCGUUCUUAUUGCUGUGUAAUCCAUUGUUUGAAUAUACCGCAGUUAGCUUACGUUAACUGCUGAUGGAGAUUCACUUGUUGACACUUUGGGGCCAUAUGAAUAAUCCUCCUGAGAACAUUCUUGUAAUUAUUUUCUAUUGGGUAUGUUCCUAGGAGUAGAGUUACUGAGUCAUAGAGUAGUAGGCACAUGUUCAGCUUUAAUAGACACUUUUACGUUUUCCAAAGUGGCUGUACCAAUUUAGAUUCCCAUUAGCAGGGUUUGAAAUUUUCUGUUAUCCUACAUCUUGUCAGCACUUGGAAUUGUCUGUUUUAAUUAUUUUAACCACUUUGGUGCCCAUAAACUUUUUACUAAUGGUUGUGCUACUUUAAAAACAUUUCAACUUGACAGAGGCAUUAUGGAUUUAAGUGUCUAUUUAUUAAUAAUUAUAUAAAAGCUACUCAUUUUUGGUUAUUCUUGAAAGCUAGGCUUUUAUAAAGCUAUGCACAAAUUAAGUACUCAGCAUGUCUAGAAGCAUCACAGUACACACAGCGUAUGCAGGUAGACUGGCGAGGGGUCAUAGGCAGCUCUUACUGUUACUCGGUUGUCCUUUUAGAUUAGUUUUUUAUUAUGAAUACGUGUUGAUUUUGAUUGAAGUAUUGCACACAUUAAACCAAGGGAAAGAUUGUUCAAGUAAUGAAUGGGAGAUAUUUUCUGGAGUAGAACUUGGAUACCAGAGUCUAGAGUAGCAGAAGGUAGGAAAUGACAUAUUUUUUUGAUGUGUGUGUGAGAGAGAGAUGGUUGUUAACUUUCCGUUAGUAGUAGAACUCUGUUUUUCAGAUGAAACCUGUGACUCGUUCCCAUUUGUGUUGAAGUGGGGUGCAGAGUGAGAAUGCCGCGCCUUCCUGUGGCACACUGUGGGGCAUCACUGGGAAACCCUUGGGCUUCAUGGGACACAAUUUGUAAGCAUCCAUUCUAAUGUGAAAGAAGAGGUGGUGUGAGGAAGCACUAGACUUGUUGGCCAAACGUGAGGUUUGUCUGCUCGACCUGUGGCUGUGUGACCCUCCGUAAGUGUGUUGAGAUGGAAGAG